CUCUUUUGAGUUUCCUUAUGUGCCACCAUGCUGCAGUUACAGGAUGCAUCUAUUUGUCACAUUUCAGCUGUUGCAGGAGACUCCAUGGAUGGCAAUCCAUGCAUUGGUUUAUUUCCCAAGUAGUGCCCAUCCAGCACCUCAGAGAUCAACAGGAAUGGAGAUGUCUGCACUGGGAUCUUGCCAGGAAAGGGAGAAGCCCAGGGUCUUUUUCCUCCUGUGUUCUGUAGCUCAUUCUCACUCUGUUGGACUGAUUCCCAAGGAGUGGCCUUUCUGCACUGUUGUUACAGCUCUGAAAGCAGUCGUCAUUCAAGCUGACAAUACUCCAGAUAUUAAAAAAGCCAGAAAACCUGAUCUGAUCAUUUUCCAUCUAGACGGAAACUGGGGACAGCCUGAGGCAUUUGAUAACACCCAGGCCCCUCUGGGUGCCUCUGGGUUCCCUGUAUGCCUUGUAUUACCUUUACAGGACAGUUUGCUGUGACAACAAGACUUUGGGACGCAGUGAGCUGCCCUCUUAGUCCUGCUACAAGCAGACUGAGUGGCAAUGAACGGGUCUUCAAGCAAGGAAAUGUUCAUUUGGUUUGCAGCUUAAAGAUUCUUAAUAAAAUCUGAGUGAUUAAAACA
rnacentral:lncRNA from 1 species